AGCAGCCGCGGUAAUUCCAGCCCCAAUAGCGUAUAUUAAAGUUGCUGCAGUUAAAAAGACUCGUAGUUGAAUUUCGGGACCAAUAUGUCGGUCGUGCCUCGGUACGUACUGGCAUCGUUGGUUUCUCCCUUCUGACGAACCAUGAUGUCAUUUAUUUGGUGUCGUGGGGAAUCAGGACUGUUACUUUGAAAAAAUUAGAGUGUUUAAAGCAGGCUCACGCUUGAAUACAUUAGCAUGGAAUAAUGAAAUAGGACGUUUGAUUCUAUUUUGUUGGUUUCUAGGAUCGACGUAAUGAUUAAUAGGGAUAGUUGGGGGCAUUAGUAUUCAAUUGUCAGAGGUGAAAUUCUUGGAUUUAUUGAAGACUAACUACUGCGAAAGCAUUUGCCAAGGAUGUUUUCAUUAAUCAAGAACGAAAGUUAGGGGAUCGAAGACGAUCAGAUACCGUCGUAGUCUUAACCAUAAACUAUGCCGACUAGGGAUCGGAUGAUGUUAAUUUUUAAUGACUCAUUCGGCGCCUUAA
rnacentral:rRNA from 1 species